CUCGACUGGUCAGCGAGGGCACAAAAUUGUGCAACGUAUGACGGGUUCGAAGCUUGAGAGCAAGGCACGAGAAAGUGGGACAAACCAAAAGACUAACUUUGAUGAAGACUCUUAAUUAUAGUGCAGCUUCCCCCUUCUUAAAAAACUGACUCAAUAAACCAUAUGAGAUAUUCUAAAAUAUCUCUUUUUUGAAUAAAUAAUAUAUAGAAACCCGCUUUUCCAAAUUUGUAGUGCAUGUGAGAAAAAUAAAGAAGUAGAUCAAAACAAAAAAAAAGACAUGGAC
rnacentral:lncRNA from 1 species